rnacentral:rRNA from 1 species
GACGAACGCUGGCGGCGUGCUUAACACAUGCAAGUCGAACGGAAAGGCCCUGCUUUUGUGGGGUGCUCGAGUGGCGAACGGGUGAGUACCACGUGAGUAACCUGCCCUUGACUUUGGGAUAACUUCACGAAACUGGGGCUAAUAUCGGAUAGGAGCUCCUGCUGCAUGGUGGGGGUUGGAAAGUUUCGGCGGUUGGGGAUGGACUCGCGGCUUAUCAGCUUGUUGGUGGGGUAGUGGCUUACCAAGGCUUUGACGGGUAGCCGGCCUGAGAGGGUGACCGGCCACAUUGGGCCUGAGAGACGGCGCAGUCUCCAACGGGAGGCAACAGGGGGGAAUAUGACGCAAUGGGCGGAAGCCUGAUGAAGAAACGCCGCGUGCGGAAUGACGGCCUUCGGGUUGUGAACCGCUUUCGCCUGUGACGAAGCGUGAGUGACGGUAAUGGGUAAAGAAGCACCGGCUAACUACGUG